rnacentral:tRNA from 1 species
GGAGGUACAGCUCAGUGGUAGAGCGUGUGCUUGGCAUGAAGGAGGUCCUGGGUUCACCUCCAGUGCCUCUG